rnacentral:rRNA from 1 species
AGAAUCAACGCUGGCGGCGUGCCUAACACAUGCAAGUCGAACGAGAAAGGGGUAGCAAUACCCUGAGUAAAGUGGCGCACGGGUGAGUAACACGUGACUAACCUACCCUUGAGUGGGGGAUAGCUGAGGGAACCUUAGCUAAUACCGCAUAAUACCCACGGGUCAAAGGAGCAAUUCGCUCGAGGAGGGGGUCGCGGCCGAUUAGUUAGUUGGCGGGGUAAUGGCCCACCAAGACGAUGAUCGGUA